GUGACGUGAGCCUGGAAUGGCCGGGAGCCACCACGUAGUACCUAAAAUAAACCCAUACUGCGGGAGGCAGAGCUAAGACAGAGAAAAACGGAAUUCUGAAGAUAUUAUUAGAGCCGCUAGAUCCAGGCUAGAUCAAUCUGGCCCCAGCCCUGAACUUUUCAAUUACAUGGGCCAAUAGAUUUCCUCCUCCCACCCCAUCUUCUUGGCUGAAGCCAGUUUGAAUUAGUUUCUGUCUUUUGCCAUCAACACUGAAAGAGUUUUGAUAUAGAGACAGAUGAAAAGACAGCAUUCCUGAUCCUGAGGCGGCAGACGUAAACUCAAGUGUGGGCUCUGUCUGGAUUUCUGAAAACAUGAAGGGGCUGAUUACAAAUCUCCUUACCAGAUAAUAGAGCUAUUCCUCACUCUCCCAGCCUUGGCUACCCUGAGAAAUUGUUGGGAAGCUUGAAAGAGCAGACUCGAGGAGGCUAUGCUUCAAGAGCAACUUUCCAGAGCCACGCCACAGGACUGGCUGCUUCUGGGCCCCACAACCACGAUGCCUCUGCACCAAUCAGGAAGCUGCUGGUUUUAGAAUAACCAAAUGUCUCCACCCAGUGUUUGCCAGUAAAACCAUCUCCCUAUGCAUGGUUUCCUCCUCAUGAGGCUUCAUUUUUCCUUCCAUGUUUUGUGAGGAGUCUGUCAUUACUUUUUGCCAUUAAAAGUAAUGGCAAACACCACAAUUACUUGUGCACCAGCCUACUACCUUCCCAAGAGGGGACCUAGUUGCAUGGGAGUCUGGGAAAUGCAGUUUUUAGCUUUCAAGAUUUUAUUACAUAGGAAGUGGGUUAGGAUGAAUGUUGAGUAAACCGAUCUGCAAUAUUUAGCCCAGUAUUUAUUUUAUUUUAUUAUUUUAUUAUUUU